UACAGGGGGUGCAAACGUUGCUCGGAAUCAUUGGGCGUAAAGCGCACGUAGGCGGUCUGUUAUGUCGGAUGUGAAAGCCCUUGGCUUAACUGAGGAAGUGCAUCCGAAACUGGCAGGCUAGAGUACUAAAGAGGGUCGCGGAAUUCCCGGUGUAGAGGUGAAAUUCGUAGAUAUCGGGAGGAACACCGGUGGCGAAGGCGGCGACCUGGGUCGAUACUGACGCUGAUGCGCGAAAGCGUGGGGAGCAAACAGG
rnacentral:rRNA from 1 species